rnacentral:lncRNA from 1 species
AACAAUUUGAAUUGACCAUAAAAUCCCAUUUUUAUUCAUAAUAUUUGGAAGGAUUAUACUUAGUACAAUUUCAGAAUAGAAAAUGAAAAUAGCAUCCUAAGGAUCUGUAGCAACUGCAUCAGAUUAACUAGCUAUGAGCACGUACUUCCUUCGAAUGCGUUUGAUCUCAGACUCGUAGGCGGUGUUCAUAUGAGCUUUCUCGAUGACGAUCUGAUUGACGAUCUUCUUCCAAGCACCAGAAGAUUGAGGGAUUCUAUUGGAAAAUAAAUC